GGGGUCUCAUCAGUUUCUAGUAAAUCGAUGUUCGUUGCCUGCUACAUGUAAAGUAACCCUAAAGGAAUUGAGCUUCUGGAUAUCUUGAAAUGGUUUCGUGGCAGGGAAAGCAAUUAAGCAAGUGGCAGUUCAGGUGAGGAAGAAGUAAUUCGGAAAAAAAUGGUCACUUUCUUCUUACUGGCAGUUAAUUUGAGAUUUUAGUUUAUUUACCAAAGGAUUAAUAAACUAUUAUGUUCGUGAGACGGGUUGAAUAGUUGAUCGCCAGACUUUCGGUUUAACUAUAAACUACUUCAUGGAGAAGGAAAAAGACAAAGAAUUGGAUAAUUGUUUCCAUCUGUGAAAGAAUUUUGAUUACCAAAACAUUUAAUUUUUUUCCGUUUUUGCCAACCAUUUCCGUGUCAUUUUUCGGUAAAUUUUUUUCAGGUACUUUCCUCUUUGACCUUGUGAUAGCUAUUCCGAAAAUCUGCGGAUCAACUAUUACACCCGUCUCACGAGUGUAAUAGGUGCAUCUAGUAAUCUUUUAGUAAAUAAAAAUAAUUGGCUGUCGAUAAUAAAAAGGUUGCAAAAAAUGUUUUACUGUAAUAUAAGGUGGGGAGGAGAAAAAGCUCAAAUACAUCAGAUCUUCUGUUAUAAUUCUAUUCACAUCCAGAUUGCUUUUUAGGGAUAUUAAAUCAACCCCAGCAUUUGACUAGUACAUAUUUCCUUUUAUCAACUCUAGAAGGAAGAAAAGCAGAAUUGAUUUCAGAACAUUUGAACCCAGAAUGGUAAGUGCUGCAACAUUAUACUGCCUGGCAUUUUGUACAAUGUACAAACAAUUCUGCAAUCCAUCACCUUGAGUUAGAUUUGGAUAGAAGUGACAUAUUGCUUGCUAGCUCCGAGGAGCAAACGUCAUUAUUAAUAAUAAUGUUUGUCCUUCGGGUUCGAAGAUGACCAUUGACAUCAUUUGGUGGAAUUGCUGCUAUGAGACCGGAGGUGGCUGGUGAGGCCAAUCCGGGCAAGAAAGCCCCUCCCACAGGUGGGGGCAGAAGUGGGUAGGGGCUGUGCUAUUGGUGCAGGUGGCUCUGGCUUUCCGCAUCUGGGGUUUCUGUUCUGCUGACUGAAUCCGUCUCUCCUCGGCUGUCUUUGCUCCUGUGGUGAUUGCGCUGCGCCAGGAUGAGCGGUCGGCAUGCUGAAAUCAUCAACAGAAUCUCCAAGGCAGCGAUUCUGUAGUGUGAUGGAGACACCACAGAUUCACACACCAUGCUCUCUCCUGCAAUGCCAACAUAGAUGCUGAAAUCAUCAACAGAAUCUCCAAGUCAUUAUUAUGGUUGUGAUGGUAGUGUAUCCAGCGUAAGGAAAUAAAUUGUAUAUUGUGAUGUGUUGGUGUGUGAAUCUGUGGUGUCUCCAUCACACUACAGAAUCGUUGCCAGACAACUGAAUCGUCGUCAUUGUCAUCGUUUUAACGUCUCCUUUUCCAUGCUUCUAUAGGUCGAGCAGGGUUUAUUGAUUCUCUACGACCAGAUGCCCUUCCUGUCAUCAACCCUCAUCUCCUUCCAAGCAACGUGAUAUCACCCCAUAGCCAGACAUGAUUUCACAGGCGACUGGAAAUGAACAACACCGUUUAUAUGACUGAUACUCAUUUGCAUUCAUUCAUUUGGUCCUGA
rnacentral:lncRNA from 1 species